GCGUGCGGGCGAUACGGGCAGACUUGAGUACUGCAGGGGAGACUGGAAUUCCUGGUGUAGCGGUGGAAUGCGCAGAUAUCAGGAGGAACACCGGUGGCGAAGGCGGGUCUCUGGGCAGUAACUGACGCUGAGGAGCGAAAGCGUGGGGAGCGAACAGGAUUAGAUACCCUGGUAGUCCACGCCGUAAACGGUGGGUACUAGGUGUGGGUUUCCUUCCUUGGGAUCCGUGCCGUAGCUAACGCAUUAAGUACCCCGCCUGGGGAGUACGGCCGCAAGGCUAAAACUCAAAUAAAUUGACGGGGGCCCGCACAAGCGGCGCGAGCAUGUGGAUUAAAUUCGAUGCAACGCGAAGAACCUUAGCUGGGUUUGACAUGCACAGGACGCCGGCAGAGAUGUCGGUUCCCUUGUGGCCUGUGUGCAGGUGGUGCAUGGCUGUCGUCAGCUCGUGUCGUGAGAUGUUGGGUUAAGUCCCGCAACGAGCGCAACCCUUGUCUCAUGUUGCCAGCGGGUAAUGCCGGGGACUCGUGAGAGACUGCUCGGGGUCAAUCUCGGAGGAAGGUGGGGAUGACGUCAAGUCAUCAUGCCCCUUAUGUCCAGGGCUUCACACAUGCUACAAUGGCCGGUACAAAGGGUCUGCGAUGCCGACGAGGUUAAGCGAAUCCUUUUAAAGCCGGUCUCAGUUCG
rnacentral:rRNA from 1 species